rnacentral:rRNA from 1 species
CAGUCGCCGCGGGAAUACGGAGGGCGCGAGCGUUACCCGGAUUUACUGGGCGUAAAGGGCGUGUAGGCGGCCUGGGGCGUCUCAUGUGAAAGGCCACGGCUCAACCGUGGAGGAGCGUGGGAUACGCUCAGGCUAGAGGGUGGGAGAGGGUGGUGGAAUUCCCGGAGUAGCGGUGAAAUGCGCAGAUACCGGGAGGAACGCCGAUGGCGAAGGCAGCCACCUGGUCCACUUCUGACGCUGAGGCGCGAAAGCGUGGGGAGCAAACCGGAUUAGAUACCCCCGUAGUCCCUGUCUCUUAUAC